rnacentral:rRNA from 1 species
CCUACGGGAGGCAGCAGUGGGGAAUAUUGGACAAUGGGGGGAACCCUGAUCCAGCCAUGCCGCGUGUGUGAAGAAGGCCCUCGGGUUGUAAAGCACUUUCAGUGAGGAAGAACGCCUGGUGGUUAAUACCCAUCAGGAAAGACAUCACUCACAGAAGAAGCACCGGCUAACUCCGUGCCAGCAGCCGCGGUAAUAUGGAGGGUGCGAGCGUUAAUCGGAAUUACUGGGCGUAAAGCGCGCGUAGGUGGCUUGAUAAGCCGGUUGUGAAAGCCCCGGGCUCAACCUGGGAACGGCAUCCGGAACUGUCAAGCUAGAGUGCAGGAGAGGAAGGUAGAAUUCCCGGUGUAGCGGUGAAAUGCGUAGAGAUCGGGAGGAAUACCAGUGGCGAAGGCGGCCUUCUGGACUGACACUGACACUGAGGUGCGAAAGCGUGGGUAGCAAACAGGAUUAGAUACCCCUGUAGUC